rnacentral:rRNA from 1 species
GAUGAACGCUGGCGGCAUGCCUAAGACAUGCAAGUCGAACGGAGCGGCCCAUUGAAAAUUGCGUGCUUGCACAAUAUUGGAUUUGGAUUCCCGCUCAGUGGCAAACGGGUGAGUAACACGUGGGUUACCUGCCUCUAAGAUGGGGAUAACAGUUGGAAACGAUUGCUAAUACCGAAUGUGCUCUACGGAGUAAAGAAGCCCUUAAAGCUUCGCUUAGAGAUGGGCCUGCGGCGCAUUAGCUAGUUGGUGGGGUAAUGGCCUACCAAGGCGACGAUGCGUAGCCGAACUGAGAGGUUGAUCGGCCACAUUGGGACUGAGACACGGCCCAGACUCCUACGGGAGACAGCAGUUGGAAUAUCGUCAAUGGGGGAAACCCUGAACGAGCAAUGCCGCGUGAGUGAUGACGGUCC